CAGCUGUAAACGAUGCAGACUAGGUGUUUGGACGGCCACGUGCCGUUCUAGUGCCGCAGGGAAGCUGUUAAGUCUGCCGCCUGGGGAGUACGAUCGCAAGAUUGAAACUUAAAGGAAUUGGCGGGGGGAGCACCACAAGGGGUGAAGCUUGCGGUUUAAUUGGAGUCAACGCCGGAAAUCUCACCGGGAGCGACAGCAGUGUGAUAGCCAGAUUAAAGGUCUUGCUAGACGAGCUGAGAGGAGGUGCAUGGCGUAGUCGUGU
rnacentral:rRNA from 1 species